AAAUUGAAGAGUUUGAUCAUGGCUCAGAUUGAACGCUGGCGGCAGGCCUAACACAUGCAAGUCGAACGGUAACAGGAAGCAGCUUGCUGCUUCGCUGACGAGUGGCGGACGGGUGAGUAAUGUCUGGGAAACUGCCUGAUGGAGGGGGAUAACUACUGGAAACGGUGGCUAAUACCGCAUAACGUCGCAAGACCAAAGAGGGGGACCUUCGGGCCUCUUGCCAUCAGAUGUGCCCAGAUGGGAUUAGCUUGUUGGUGAGGUAACGGCUCACCAAGGCGACGAUCCCUAGCUGGUCUGAGAGGAUGACCAGCCACACUGGAACUGAGACACGGUCCAGACUCCUACGGGAGGCAGCAGUGGGGAAUAUUGCACAAUGGGCGCAAGCCUGAUGCAGCCAUGCCGCGUGUAUGAAGAAGGCCUUCGGGUUGUAAAGUACUUUCAGCGGGGAGGAAGGUGUUGCGGUUAAUAACCGCAGCAAUUGACGUUACCCGCAGAAGAAGCACCGGCUAACUCCGU
rnacentral:rRNA from 1 species